AAUCACGUUGAAAAUACCGGUUCUCAUUCGAUUACCGAAGUUAAGCAGCGUCGAGUUCGGUUAGUACAUAGAUGGGUGUCGCUUGAGAACACCGGAUACUGUAUG